AACGCACAUUGCGCCCCUUGGUAUUCCAUGGGGCAUGCCUGUUCGAGCGUCAUUUGUACCCUCAAGCUCUGCUUGGUGUUGGGUGUUUGUCCCGCUUUGCGCGUGGACUCGCCUUAAAGCAAUUGGCAGCCGGCAAUCUGGUUAUAGAGCGCAGCACAUUUUGCGCUUCUUGCCAUGGAUGUCGGCAUCCAUCAAGUACAUUUUUUUUGCUCUUGACCUCGGAUCAGGUAGGGAUACCCGCUGAACUUAA
rnacentral:misc_RNA from 1 species